GAAGAUAUGACGGUUUCUAAGGAAUAAGCAUCGGCUAACUCCGUGCCAGCAGCCGCGGUAAGACGGAGGAUGCAAGCGUUAUCCGGAAUUAUUGGGCGUAAAGCGUCUGUAGGUGGUUUACUCAGUCCGCUGUGAAAGAUCAGGGCUUCACCCUGAACACGCGGUGGAAACCGGUAGACUUGAGUACGGUAGGGGCAGAGGGAAUUCCCGGUGGAGCGGUGAAAUGCGUAGAGAUCGGGAAGAACACCAAUAGCGAAAGCACUCUGCUGGGCCGUAACUGACACUGAGAGACGAAAGCUAGGGUAGCGAAUGGGAUUAGAUACCCCAGUAGUCCUAGCCGUAAACGAUGGAUACUAAGUGCUGUGCAUUCGACCAGUACUGUAGCUAACGCGUUAAGUAUCCCGCCUGGGGAGUAUGCUCGCAAGAGUGAAACUCAAAGGAAUUGACGG
rnacentral:rRNA from 1 species